rnacentral:lncRNA from 1 species
AUGUGGAGAUAUGUUCUUGAAUUAUGAUUUGUAUUCUAAUCUUCUGCAUGAAAUCUAUAGGAAGAUCCUAAGAAUCAGUGAUCCUUAUCUUUUGGGCUAUGUGGGCCUAAUGUUGGAUAAUGUUGUUGGGGCGGCAUAGUGCAUAUCUGAAUCCAACUUUAGCCCGUGAUGGAAGGGCCUGUUAGAGUUAGUUUUAAAUAGCUAUGUUCUCU